UGGGCAGAACCCACUCACACUGUGUCUCCA
rnacentral:piRNA from 1 species